GAGAAAUUCCAGAACAGAUUGCAAAUUCUGAAGCAGCAGAUGAGACUGGCAGCUCAGCUAGGCAGGGCACGUUCUGUUCCCACUGCGAUCUGAUACAUCCGCCGCAAAGGGCUGUUGGAGCAGUUGACACCAGCAACACGGGAGGUGUUGGGAGCAGCACGGAAGCCAAGUCUGGACAGUCUUGUGCCAUCUGCCUCUGCGGGCUGCUUGCUGUGGGAGGCAUGGAGUUGAAUGCUGAGACAGACAUGACAGUGGAUGGAAGCCACAUGGUUAGCUGUGGCAUUUGACCUCUCUGGGCCAGAGCUUGUGAUUUAGGAACUAAGCCAUGCACCCGGCAGAAGAAAAUGCCCAAGACCUUCCUGCAUUGCACCUAUUAAAGGCUGCAGGUGGAGAAGGAAGUGGAUGGACGUUUCAUCUCACCCAUACAGUAAUGGGCCAGGGGAAGAGGCUAGAGCUCAGUGUGUCUGCUUUGCAUGCCCAAGGUCCCAAGUUUGAUCCCCGACAUCACCAGAUCAGUUCCAGCACACCGGAAGUCAAGAUGUGUGUCGUUUCACUCAUUGACAGUCUGAUCCUGUGGACAUUUACUGAGGGUGUUUACUGACAAGUAAAGACCCCCUGAUUUCAAUGGGACUUGAUCGUGGGUGGCACAGAAGAUGCCCAGGCAAAGGGAAGUGACAGCACUCUCAAAACAACCUGUCUUGCUUCAGUAAACGGCAACCCUAAAUCUGUGGCAAAGCCAUGGGGAACCAUCUCACCGGCAAAGGGCCUCUGAGGGAAAACUUCACUGAGGAUGGAAGUGGGAGACUGCAAGUGCCCCCCCCCCAGCAAAGAUUUCGUCAUUCAGGGUGCUGAGCCCGAACGUGCAAAGGCUUCCAUCGACCUGCCUCCAAGCUUAGAGAAACACAAUACCUGCCCCACCCCCAAGACAGAGCUGAAUUACCAAAUUGGCAGAGUAGGCACUGGCCUAUGGGCUCCAUGCCUUUUAGGGCCCUUGCAAUAACAGAUCAAAAUAAAUACAGUUUGCUUUGUGCAUUAAAAUUGGUUUAUUAAAAUUGUUGAUUGGUAA
rnacentral:lncRNA from 1 species